rnacentral:lncRNA from 1 species
UACUUUCUCUCCACAGCAAUACUGAACAACGCCACCUCAGUGGGUCUGACAGAAGACAGAAGAAUUAAAGUUUAAUUGUGCAUUUCCAAGAACAUGUCAAUGCUAUAAAGGACUUACUAUACUUUCAGCCAACAACUGAGCCUAGGACAUCUCUGAACAUACAGUGGUGAGUGGCACAGCCUAGACCACGGUGACUAGAUUGUCUGCGGCAGAAAAAUUGUCUUUUGAAUUUUGAUCCCAAGAUUGGUGAUGGUGAGGGAUAGUCUUCUUCUGUCUAGUUGUGACACUUUGGGCAACUUAAAUUCUAUACAUUGCUUGCUUCUUAUCUGUAAAAUGAAAAACAAGCAAAUAUCAAAUUAUUGUUGUGUAAUUGAAUGAGUCAAGGUGUAUAACUUAUGCAGUAUAGUUUUUAAUACUUUGAAGUGGCUUGAAACAUGUUUUGUUCCCUUUCUGAGGCUGUCUGUGGCCAAUGAAACUCUGAUAAUAAUAAUAAAUCUGAGACUCUUUUAUUUGAAUACAGUUUGAGGCAUUUCAUAAGUAACCAUUACAUUGUUUUGCCAAUUGUUCCCCCAUAUAAAGUAGUUGAGAAUUUGAUUAGCUUAGUAGGACUCAGUUUUAUGGCUACAACCUCCACCUCCCAGGUUCAAGUGAUCCUCCUGCCUCAGCCCCUAGAGUAACUGGGAUUACAGGCGCCCAGCACCACACCCGGCUAAUUUUUGUAUUUUUAGUAGAGACAGGGUUUCACCAUGUUGGCCAGGAUGGUCUUGAACUCUUGACCCCAGAUGAUCCACCCACCUCGACCUCCCAAAGUGAUGGGAUUACGGGUGUGAGCCACCAUGCCUGGCCUCUUUCCUUCUUUUAAUUAUUCCUCUCAGUCUUUCUGUCUCUCAUUCUAUUAGUUAUUUCACUUUUCCUUCAAGUUAUAUAGAAGUUGAAAUAUAUGAGUUAGUGAGCAAAAUACAAUAAACCUGUAACAUUUUUUUUAUAUAUAGCUCAUUGAUUGAUAUAAACUAUUUGAUCACGGAAAUAUGACCAUGUAAAUCAAACAACUUAGAUACUAUUUACUUUGCCAUUACUUCUAAUGGCAAAAACCACAGUUACUUUUGUAUCAACCUAAUGCAUAAUACAUAAUUACAUUUGUAUCUACCUAAUACAUAAAAAUUGAGCUAUUAUAGAGGGCUUAUGCUUCAGUGCAGUUUUUACAUUGAUUUAUAAAAAGUAAAUUUCAAUGACUUUUUUGUUGGUAAUCUGUAUUGUUCUGAACUGUUCUUUUGGUACCAUAUUUUUGUUUGGAAGUAGUGGAUGUAUAUUUGAUCUAUUAUUUCUUAACAUUGGGUAAUUUGAUUAUUUUAAGAGUAGAUAUUUAUUAUUCCCCUGAUUGUUAAAAAGUAAUAAUGGCAUGUAACAAGAGUAUAAUGAAAAUACUUGUUCCAAACGUGUAAUAUUUAUCAAACUGACUUGAUUAUCUAUACACAUAUAUGCACACGAUAUUAUAAAGUGUUAAUCAUUUUAUGAAGAGAUGUUUUUUCAUUAGAAUGCAUUUUCCCUCAUAAUUUUAGAUUCUUUUUUUCUAUAUUAAUAUGACAUUUUGAUUCUUCUUCAAAUUAGCAGUGAAGAACUUUUCUUAUUGGCGGUCUUAUUUUGCUGCUUUUUCUCCCAUCAUCUCUAUAAUGACUGUGCUGAGCAUCACAAUUGUUUGAGACAGUUUUACUUGCAUUUCCUGGAGGCACUUCCCCUUUAACUUCUAUAUAAGAUCAAUAUUUAAUCACCUUUUUAAAAUCUAAAUUUAUACCAUGUCUCUCCAAAACGAACUAUUUGUCUAUCAUGUGCUGUUUCUUCAUAUUUUAAGUCCUAAAUGGAUUAGAGGUAAUAAUUGAGUGUAAGUUUCAAAGAAAAUAUGACUGCUUGAAAGAAUAAAUUGAAUGUGUGGAAAAUUAAAUUUUUCACUUAAUACAAUUAAUAAAGGUCACAUUCUUCAUAUAUGUGUAAGUGUUCAACUUAUACUUGAUUAGGAGUUAGGCAAUACAAUGUAUAUGGCA